UGGGGAAUUUUGGACAAUGGGCGCAAGCCUGAUCCAGCAAUGCCGCGUGCAGGAUGAAGGCCUUCGGGUUGUAAACUGCUUUUGUACGGAACGAAAAAGCUCUCACUAAUACAGGGGGUGAAUGACGGUACCGUAAGAAUAAGCACCGGCUAACUACGUGCCAGCAGCCGCGGUAAUACGUAGGGUGCAAGCGUUAAUCGGAAUUACUGGGCGUAAAGCGUGCGCAGGCGGUUUUGUAAGACGGAGGUGAAAUCCCCGGGCUCAACCUGGGAACUGCCUUUGUGACUGCAAAGCUGGAGUGCGGCAGAGGGCGAUGGAAUUCCACGUGUAGCAGUGAAAUGCGUAGAUAUGCGGAGGAACACCGAUGGCGAAGGCAAUCCCCUGGGCCUGCACUGACGCUCAUGCACGAAAGCGUGGGGAGCAAACA
rnacentral:rRNA from 1 species